UAAUUCCUGGUUUUGCUAUGUGAUUUAUUUUGCCUUGAGUGGAAAGUAUUCAAAGCAGAGUUGUGCUGCUGAGAUGCUUCACCAGAGACAGCCCUGCGGAAGGGGGCAGAGCAUCGGUUCCAAGCUUGUACCAGAGCUGCAUCCUCCUACUACAGGUCUUUCACCUCAAAAGAAGAGGAUCUAACCAGCAAGAUGAUUUCAGGUACAGUAACAGUGUCCAGAACCUCCCAAUGCUGCGGGGCAGAGGCUGCAUCCCCACUGCUGCCACUCCAUUGCAGCGUCAUGGGGCUGGGACCCAGCAUGAAGCCCCCCGGAGAGCUGGUGAUGAGCACCAGUGCUCGCAGCCACGAUGCCCAUCAGUGCAGGAAACCCCCCAGUACUCUGCCCUGCUUUGGGAUCUACAGCAAGGAGGAGGAUGGGGUGGUCCUUAAAACCUCAUCAAGGAAAGACCCAAUCGUCCUCAGGGAAGUGGUGUGGACUUCAGUUUGCUCCUGUUCUCCCCAUAGUAGGUGCUUGGAGAUGGGAAUGGAUCCCCCAGUCCUGUCAGGGUCCCUCUGUUGAGGAUGGAGCAGCUUCAGUGAAGAGCCAGGGAUGGGGAAGGCACCGCUCACUUGUUCCACUGCUGGAAAAAGGUAAGAGAAGCUCAGCUGACCAAAAGGGUUGCUUUGCCAGUGCCUCUUGGAAUAUCGAGACAUCGUGGAUAACAGAGUGAGCUCCUGGAUAACAUCACCAUUUGGAAAGUCACUGAACGCUAAGAUUCAGCUCCCAGUUCACCACCACCAACCCCAACGUGCAAGAGCCCCUCGAGGGCUGGGGCGUUUUGAAACGGGUUUGGGCUGUGUUUCAGUUCCUGCAACGCGCAGGCAGAGGGCGCCUGCGGAGCGGAGCAGAGGCAGCUCCGCAUCCUUCUCCUGCGAGCUGGACGCUGUGAGGACCCCAGGACACGCAGAAUCCAUCCGGCUUUACUGGUCCAGCUGUUCUGGUUGGAGGAACGGCGCCGAGAUGCAGCAGAGCCCCAGGUUGCGUACGUUGGCUGGGUAUGUGAUGUGGUCCAUGGUGUGGGGCUCAUCCUCGGCAUCCCCAGGCACAGAAGUUGCAGGGGUGUCUUGACAGCAACAGAAGCAAGACACAUCUCUGUCUCUGUGCCUCAGUUUCUGUGCCACGAAAGGAAUAGUCCAGCUGCUUUUUGUCACAAAACAUCAGUAAAAGAGGGUGAUAAAUGGGCUUGGUUGUAAGCUGUAGCUGUAAUGGAGAGAUCUGCUUGCCUGAUGGAACAUCAAACCACAGAAAGAGGGGAGAUCUAAGAUGAAAUAUUAGGAAGAAGUUCAUAGACUGGAUUGUGUUGGAAGGGACCUUAAAGCUCAUCUGCAGCCAUGGCAGGGACCCCUUCCACUAGAGCAGGAUGCUCCAAGCCCCUGUGUCCUUGAGCACUGCCAGGGAUGGGGCAGCCACAGCUUCUCUGGGCCUUCUCCCUGUCCCUGCUGCUCACAUGCUGGUGAUGCAGCCCCCGCACAUGGGUGGUUCCUGGGCUGCAAGUGCACAAAAUGAGGUCACCCUCCUCUUCUGCAGCACCAGCUCUGCUUGAGUCAUGUCCAGGCACCCAAAGGAGCCUCUGCUAAUCGCCCUAAGAACAGCAGCUGGGAUUAGGUGCUAUUCCUAGAGGGACACAGCUAAAAGGGGCCGCAGGCAACGGAGCCAGCGCACCCUCGCUGGCACAUCCCUAUUUAUAGACGACUGGAUGAAGGAGUAAGUCCUGCCUUUCACUUCCAAUUAACAACUCCCCUUUUCUUCAUGGAGUAACUUCCACGUUCGUUGUCCUUUAAGCACUUUGAUUAUCAGCUGAAAUCCCAGUUUACGUUGCAUUUUGCUGACCAGAAUCCUCUGGUUCCUCUUUCUACAGAGUGCUCAGAGGCCAGGAAGGUUUUUUGCCUGUCCAAAUCCAGUGUGUGUGGUUUAGAGGAGGCAGGAUUUCUGUAGGAAAACUCCAAUUCCAGGCAUCAGAUUUUACUUCUCCUCUUCAAACUGACCGACACCUCAUUUAAGGAGGUAGUGGGGGGACUCACAGCCAAAGGUACUGCUUUACAUGCAUAAUAAUUGCAAACUAAGUUAAACCCCAGUAUUUAAUUGCAUCCUAUUGUUUAGAUCGUAAAUGGUUUAGUGUCUGGAAAGUACCAUUUUGUUCUCUGUCUGUUUGCUUUGGAAAUGCUUUUGUAACCAUGUCAGUGAUGGUUUUUUUUCAGCUAAAUAAGCCCAGAGUGUUGUCUCCUCCUUAAAUACAUCUUUGUCCUUAAAGGAAUACUGCCUUCCUGCAAACUUCCUACAAGGAAAAGCCUUUCCACCCAAGAAAUACCUUGAAUUUCCCCGUUACACCCCCUCCAUGUGUGUGUCGUGGGAUCCAGGGACCACAUCAACCAGUGACUUGAGUGAGUCCAGCUCUGGAAAUGGGUUGAGAAUGAACCAUUUGCUCCUAGCAAUGGGCACCUUCAGGUCAGCACCAACAAACUCCCCUUCCUCUUGUGUCAGGAAAAGGGCAGGAACAUCUCUAAGUAUAGAGGAGGGGGGAAAACCAGCUCACUGCAGGCAGAAGGGAGCUGAAAUCCAUGCAGACGCUGACAAAUAAGAGGAGUUGCCUGGAAACAGUUGUGUCCUGUGAUGAGUUUCCUCCUCUGGUUUUCAUUAGUACAGAACCACUUCUUUACGUGUCCCUCUCCUGGGUGCAAGAACAGCAUCCCAGGCCCUGGGCUGGUUUCUUAUGGCUUGAGAGAAUCCUGACCCUUUCCCUGUGCCUCAGGUCUUACUCUAAAGCAAUGCUGGUGGCUGAAACAUCUUGUGCCACAGCAUCCAGGGCUCCUGCUCUUGGCAAAGGAAUAAGGUUUGGAUGAGUUUCCAUCUUUGAAGCCAAAAAUGAGUUGGCUUUCCUAUUAGCUUUGUUUGUCAACUGCCAUUUAACCCUCUGCUUUUCUCCUUGGGCUGCAGAAAGAACUCAUCACACCACGAGUAAGCAUGUCUGUCGUUCCUACUUCAUUAUCUGUCAUGAGUAAAUCUAGGUACCUCCAUUUAAGUGCCUUGGGAACAAUGUCUGCAUCCAUUCAGCUGCCCUGCAGUAAGUCUGGUGGGUUCCUGCUGGAACACAAGCACACUUCAGUAGGGGCAAUGCUUUACUUCACCUCAUUCUUUUGUCAUAAUCUGAUUGUGUUUCCCUUUCAACAAUAACAAGGGGUGAAAAAAGGGGGGGAAUAAACAAGUAAAGGUG